UCUGGAUGGGUACCAUUCAAUCAGCUGCCAGCCUGGCUAGGAAAAGCAAGUGGAAGAAGGUGAAAUGAGCUGACUUUCUGAUUCUUCCAGGAUUUAUCUUUCUCCUGUGCCGGAUGCUUCCUGCUCUUGAAUAUCAGAUUCCAGGUUCUUCAGCCUUUGGACUCUUGGAAUUAUACCAGUGGUUUGUCAGAGGCUUUCGGAGCUUUGGCCACAGACUGAAGGCUACACUGUCAGCUUCCCUACUUUUGAGGUUCUGAGACUCACACUGAGACACUACUGGCUUGCAGUUGACCUAUAAUGGGACUCCGCCUUGUGAUCAUAGACCAUCAAGCUUCAGAUGAUCAUGGAACAAAGGUUCCAGCCAGCCAGUUACAGGUGAAGAUACCACCCCUGUUCAUCAAGGAGCUACCCUGCCUCCACUAGAUAAAGCAUGAAGAAAGUUCAGUGAUCCCCAAUAGGUAGGUACUAUCUACCACACCAGCAUGAAGCAGUUCCAGGAAAAAAAAAAAAACCACUGGUCCCUCUGAUUUCCAUGAAUCUUUAGGGAGAUCACAUCUCUCAGUGAGGAGAUGAGGCAGGAAAAAGGUCUGGAGGCAGGGAACAUAAGAAAAUAUGUUUGCUGUUUUAAACUGCUAAGUUUUACAGCAAUUUGUUACUCAAUGAUUGGUAACUAAUAUACCUUUUUUUAUCAAUAGAUAUUCAUUCCAAACUUUUCUUGAUAACAGUAAUUUCUUAUUGAAGUCGAGGUGGCAUGAUAAAAUAGAAAUAAAAGUGUCUUAACUGUCUUUUUCUGUAACAGAUCAGUGUACUUUGAAGUGCAUCUGAAUCUAAAAGGAUACAUUUUCUUCAAUGAGAAUGAAAAGUGAAAGAUAGCUUGAUAGCAACUGCUACUUGCUAUUAGAGAGUCUGAAACAGUCACUAACAUUACUCUAGAGGUUUACCCCAUUUCUAAGAGACCUAUUAAUUCAAUUACAGGAGGAAAAUGUCACAAAUCAUUGCACUGUAGCCACCAGGCUAUUACCCUAGAAAGACCAGUGCAGUUAUAAUGAUAAUUUUGAAAUAGCAAAAGAGGAGAUGAAGAAAUUAGAAAGCAAAUGCAUAUAAGUUAUAUCUAGAAAGUUGUACUAAUACUCCGAUUUCUAAUUUAAUCAAAAUAAUUUUUCCAAAUUAUCAAUAUUAACAAUUUAUUGAUCAAUUUCUCUUUUGAGCUGAUUUGAUCAUUGGUUAAAACCUAAGGAAGACAAACAGUUGACAGUGAUGUAGCUGCAAUUCUAAAUACCAGCAGGAAAAAAAAAGAAAAAUCAAUUAAAACAUGGUUAUUAAUUUAGCAAUUGGAAAAACUGGGGAUGAUUUGGGAAAGAGAAAAGACUACCAAAUAAAAAUUUUAAAGGUUAUGGAUAAAAGGAAGAAGUUAAGAGUGAAGCUUAGGGUAUAGGGUAUGUAAAAAUAAAGUUUUAUUAUAUUAAGUGUAAAUCUUCUCACAGAAAAAAUGAGAAACAAAUUGAGGGAAAGUUAAUGCAGAUGGCAAUUCUAAAGUGUUUUCUCUGUAAGUGCAAAUCAUAUUCAAGCAAGCAAGCAAGAGGUUAGUUCUACUCACUGUCGGAAGGUUUGCUAUCACUUAGGAAAGGUUGCUGUUCCAUGAUGUCCAUUGGAAUUUUAAUACUUGGAACUUUUUCUGAGUAUGGGCAGUCAGACUGUGAAAAAAAUGUACAACACGUUUUAGAAUAUUUUUAUUAUACAACCCUUCCUAUCUCCCAGUAUCGAACAAACCUUUCAUAUAAUCACUUACUUAAUACUAAGGAGAAAAGCCCUGUAAUUACUUCCAGUUUGCUAGCUUUUAACUGCAUGGCUUCUUUCUCCCUCAUGUUUGUUUUCCACUCUUCUGAGUUAAUGGUAUUGAGUCAAUUAAAACUAGAACUAUGCCAAAUAGAGAUCACUACAACUGAAUUGUAAAGCUUUCUAUAAGUUAGACUCCCAAUCAGCAAAUGUUUAUGAGUUGUAUGUGUGAAGCAAAUUAUCUCAAUGCAAAAACAGAUUCAAGUUAGGAAACUUCCUAAAUUAUAAAUGGUCUUGAAACUCUUAUUUUGUUUCUGCUGAUUCUGUCUCUAGAAAAAUCAUGACCCAUCUUUCCUCUAGAACAAGUGACAGACUUUUAAAAUAUCCACGAUCCAGGAGCCUUCUAUGUACACUAGAAAAUAAACUUUCCUCACUUACUCUAAGUACUAUUUUAUGGGUAAAGGUUCAUUUUGAUUUGUUUGUGCCAAAGAUACCUGAAAAUGUAAGCAAACAUAAGAAAAUAAAAUAUUUAAAAAGGUGUCUAUGAUGGUUAGAUAAGCAGAAGAUCAUAACCAGAAUAAAAUGACAAAACCAGGCAGGUAAUCAUAGGACUGCUUAAAGAACAGGCCACCUACCCCAAGCUAUAAUAGAUUUCCCAAAGAUUACCAACUUUGCUUUGUUAAAUUGCAUUAUAUUGAUUCUAAGUCUAUGUUUGGACUCAAAGACCAAUACAUCUCUUAACUUAAAGUAACAAAAAGAUGAUCAUCUUUAGCUGAAAAAAAAAAAUGAGACGUAAUGCUUAAAAAAAUCUUAACAUAAAGCUUAUUACCCACAUGGAAAAUUUACUUAUGACGCCUCUAAAGAAGUUAAUGAACUAGAAUAUCCUUUAAGAGAACUAAUAUAAUGCACUCAAACUGGCAAAACAGAAUAAAAAAGAUGUCACACAUAACAAUAUUAACCUUAAAUGUAAAUGGACUCAAUGCUCCAAUUAAAAGACACAGCCUGGCAAACUGGAUAGAGUCAAGACCCAUCAGUGUGUAUAUUUGGGUGACCCAUCUCACGUGCAAAGACACACAUAGGCUCAAAACAAAGGGAUGUAGGAAGAUUUACCAAGCAAAUGGAAAGAAAAAAAAAAAGAGUGGGAGUUGCAAUCCUAGUCUCUGAUAAAACAGAUUUUAACCAACAAAGAUAAAAAAAGAAAGGACGGCAUUACAUAAUGGUAAAGGGAUCAAUGCAACAAGAAGAGCUAAUUAUCCUAAAUAUAUAUGUACUAAUACAGAAGCAUCCAGAUUCUUAGAGCAAGUUCUUAGAGACCUACAAAGAGACUUUUACUCCCACAAUAAUAGUGGGAGAAUUUAACACCCCACUGUCAAUAUUAGACCUAAUGAGACAGAAAAUUAAUGAGGACAUUCAGGACUUGAACUCAGCUCUGGACCAAGCUGACUUAACAGACAGCUACAGAACUCUCCACCACAAAUCAACAAAAUAUACAUUCUUCUCAGCACCACAUCACACUUAUUUUAAAAUUGCCCACAGAAGUGGGAGUAAAACACUCCUCAGCAAAUGCAAAAAAAAAAAAAAAAAAAAAAAAAAAAAAAAGAAA